rnacentral:rRNA from 2 species
UUGGAGGGCAAGUCUGGUGCCAGCAGCCGCGGUAAUUCCAGCUCCAAUAGCGUAUAUUAAAGUUGUUGCAGUUAAAAAGCUCGUAGUUGAAUUUCGGGAUUAGUACGUUGGUCGUGCCUUCGGUACGUACUGGUGUUACUGAUUCCUACCUUCUGACGAACCAUCAUGUCAUUAAUUUGGUGUGGUGGGGAAUCAGGACUGUUACUUUGAAAAAAUUAGAGUGUUUAAAGCAGGCUCGCGCUUGAAUACAUUAGCAUGGAAUAAUGAAAUAGGACGUUGACCCUAUUUUGUUGGUUUCUAGGAUUGACGUAAUGAUUAAUAGGGAUAGUUGGGGGCAUUAGUAUUCAAUUGUCAGAGGUGAAAUUCUUGGAUUUAUUGAAGACUAACUACUGCGAAAGCAUUUGCCAAGGAUGUUUUCAUUAAUCAAGAACGAAAGUUAGGGGAUCGAAGACGAUCAGAUACCGUCGUAGUCUUAACCAUAAACUAUGCCGACUAGGGAUCGGAUGAUGUUAUUUUUAAUGACUCAUUCGGCGCCUUACGGGAAAC